CUAGCGCUUGCAGCCGCCUCCGCUCCCGAUCCAGAUCCGCCACCCACCUCCCUCUCCCCUCGCCGCCGGUCUGCACCCUCCCCUCCCCUCCAUUUCCCCCACCUUUGCCGCCCAUCCACCACCGCCGACCCUCGCCUUCAUCCUCCAUAUCCACUAGUCCAGGCGAGGCCAUGGCGUCCCCCCCCCUCCUCUGCCGCCGCCACCCAACCUCUCUCCCUCUCUCCCCCGCACCACCACCGCCACGGCCGGCGGCGCCACCCAAUCUCUCUCCCGCGCCACCGCCGACCGCUUCCCCGUCCGCGACGUCGCCUCGUUCUCCACGCCGAUAGGGGAGCCACCCUGCUCCGCGUGCGUGCUUAUUCUCGGUCGAUGACGCGGCCGUGCCCUUCGACGCCUCUCUUCCUCGUCCGGUGCCGGCCGUACAAGAGACGCCGGACUCCUGCAACGUCCGUUCGCACCUGACCGCCGCGGAGUGCAGGGGUUCAUUCGUUGUUGCUGCUCCAGGCAGCUCCAUCAACCAGUACAAGACCCUGAGGUGCGCUGCUCCAGGCAGAGUCCGGCCUUGCGCUGAAGCUGCUGAACUCCAAGGUCACCGCUUCCUUCUUCAGCCCCCGGGAUCCUGAGUGGACCAUGUGAGAGCUUUCAGAAAUGUGCGCAAAGGCACUAUAACCGUCAAGAUUCCGUCUAGGUGGCUAUCGAGAAGAGUGAAGAAAAGAAGAGAAGGAGGAUGGCUAAUGUGUACAGUUUGCAGAUCAGGGAGGGUAUCAAAAUCCCUAGAUCGCCUCCAUUCCCCAUCGGGCCUAGCACUUCUCUCUCUCCCUCACCACUUCUUCUUCCACCUCCGGCCGCCGCCGCGGCCAGGCCGGCGUGGUGGCGCGGCACCGCAUCUCCAUCCACCACUCCACACCCAUCCACCAACGCAUCCACCAGCGCCACCAUUUCCAGCCACCGCCGCCAUCAGCACCAGCACCACCUCGCGCGCCCGACCAGACGAGGGGAGGCACGAUUGUCUGGUGCUCCGCGCGAGUGUCUCCUCCGUGCUGCUCCUCACCAUGCUGCUGCUCUUCCCUCUCCAUCUCUGCUGCUGCUCUUCCUUGCGCCCCCGUGCUGCUGCCUCUCCUUCGCUCCGCUGCUUGUUGCUUCUCCUUUGAUCCCUUUGCUGCUGCUCUUCUUCUCCCACGUCCCCUGCUGCACCUCCACUCCUUCUCUCUACUGCUGCUCCUCCCCUCGUCCCUACUGCUGCUCCUCCUCCGCUCAAGUUCUCCAACUUGCUUUUGCUGCUUUUCUCUCUCCAUCUGAUCUCAAAUUUCUGUAAUCUUGAGAAGUUUAUUGUUCAGUACUUUGCAAUAUUCAGAAUUGAUAUGUGUAGUACCUGAAAUAUUCAGAUUUCAUAAGAGCUUGCAACUUGACAAUUGUUCAGUUUCAUACUUGCAAAAUAUAGUGCAUUUUAUUGUUUGUUCUGACUAGUUAAUGUCUAGUUGUUUGAAUUAUAUUUAGUAUGUGUGAUAUGCUCUGUGAUAUAGUAAUCUUCUAGCAUAUGUGUGUGAUCCCCUAUGUGUUCGUUUCUUGACUGGUGCUUCUUUAAUACCACUCAUUUUGUUGAUCUGUGAGUACUAGAAUUAUGUCUUCUAACCCCCUGUUUGCAUAUGUGUGAUGUGUGUUCUGUAGUCCUUGUGUUAACUAUGUUCAUGCGAGAAUAUUUUUUUGUGUUGUGAUAUAUUUCUGUCCUUGUCAUAGUAUUGUUUCUACCCUUUGUUUACUUUCUCAAAUGAAACAAAAUACUAAAAUGACAGUGAGUAAAAUCUGAACCUCCCUUUGCUAUUUUUCAUUUUAUUUGUGGAUUAUCUUCGGGAACAACCUUGUUUAGUUUAGGUUUAUAUUCUUGCAGCCAUAUUCUGAAUUUUUUCACCUAGCUUUAGCCGAGCAUAGUCGCCAUCGCCUAGUGCCUGUGGGGAACACGACACUUGCAGAUUUGGGGGAAAUACCCUACUGUACUUACAAUCAAUCAAUUUGUAUUGUAAACAGAGGAGUGACUUCAUUCUUAUCUCACUGACAAACAACAGAUAGUGUUCAAUGAUCAGUUACCACUCAGUUUUUUGGUAAUGGGCUGUAGUGCUUUCUGUUCUACUUAGUAUGCUGUCACUUAACAUCGCAGAUUAAUCUGCCCUAUGUAUGUGUUUAAUUAUAUUCAUGGUUGCUUUAUGUGUUUGUUGAUUAUGCAGGUUCCCUGGCUAGGCCUCUGGGGUGAGUGCAUCACCGGCUCCUGCUGCAGCUGCUCCUGCUGCUUCCAAGGAGAGCCAGGACAAAUUUGAAGUGCAAAGCCAUGAAGCCAAGUGCAAAGCUGUGAUGCAUUGUGAUACUGUAGAGAUUGUGACAUUGGAACGGAUUUACUGUUAUUUGUAUUCACUUGCCAGAGAUUUGUUUGUUCCACUUGACUGUAAUAGUUUGUAGAGAUUGUGACAUUGGAAUAGAUUUAAUGUUAUUUGACAAAUUAUGUUUGUUCUA